ensembl:lncRNA
AAUCCUCCUUGAGGCUUCUUGUUCACGGGUCCUCAGAGAUACAGAUGGGAUCAUGCAGACUGCUUCUUCCAACAGAGUACUUCAUUCAUACAUGUGAAGGAAGCAGGAGGAAGGAGGUAACCAAGAUAAAGAAACCGAACAAGUGACUUUAGAGGAAAUUGAGCUAAUUCUAAAAACAGAAGAGAUCUUAAAAGCAAAUUUUAUCAUCAGUAGAGAUUUGAUAGAGCUAUAGUGCUUUCAAAACCAAGAAUGGCCUGCAAAAGAAAAUGAGCAAGCUGAGAACAACAAAAACAAGUUCUGGAGGCUGGAAAUCCAAGAUCAGAUACCUGCGUAGUUGAGUGCUGGUGAAGACCCUCUUCCGGGUUUCAGACUGCCCACCUUCCUGUGUCCACGCAUGGCGGAAGGGUGAGACACCCACCACAGCAUGGCUUUUUGCCAAGUGAUGCCAUGUCUGCACUUGGGAUCCGAACCUGCAAACCCCCGGGCUGCCGAGCAGCAGAAGCUGCAAGCAAUGGAAAUCCAGCCUCAUAGGAAUCUGAGGAGGCAACAUGUGGAUGAAAACGCUGUCUUCUCUUCCUUAAAUGGGAAUUCCAUUCAAGGGAAAAACUCUUUCACCAUUGGAUUAGAAUGACCAUGUGGUUUGUGUUUGUGUCAGAGCCUCUUGGCUGAAUUCUGAAAACCUCUUUAAAACUCAGUAAAUCACACACUCACAUCUGUAGCAAAGUUGUAGUAAUACCUUUAAAAAAAAAUCUAUAAACUCACAUACUUCCCUGUACAUGUUCAUCUGAAUAAAUUAUCAUUUGAGAAGGCAUUUCAUUCAGAUUCUGUGAUUCAGACUUCCAAAUCAUUCAACCUGAAUGCUCAAAAUGUGUUUCCCAGAUGGGCAAAGUUGAGCUCAAGUUCAGAUUAGUUGUUGCCAAAACACUCAAUCUACAAAGUAUAUUGGAAUAUUCAGUCCUUUAGUCAAAAAGUCAUUUGGCUAAAAUGUAAAAUUGACUUUAACAUUUGCACAAUGAACUUCUUGAAGAGGAUAGAACAUCCAUGACAUGGAAGUAGCAGUCCAUUUGAAAGAUGCUUGGAUGAAUCCACACAAUAUAGAUUAGAUUAUCCGUAUUAAUGAAACUUUCAAGAUGGGGAUUGUGGCAUUACAGACACACUGUUCAUUUUCACUCCUCUCUUUAUUUUUUCUUGCUGUUUUCUCUGUCUAGGAGGCUCUUAUUUCUGUAUGGCAAACUCCCACUCAUUCUUCAAAACAGUUUGAAUGUCAUUUUAUCUGUGAAGCCUACCUCUGACAGAAUGAGUUUACCUCCUCUGUUUCCUUAGUCUUUUAAUUCAUCUCACUUUCUGAAUUUUCACAUUUUAGUAUUAGAUAGAUAGAUGAUAAAUACAUAGGUAGAUGUUGAGGUGUGUGUGUGAGUGUGUGUGUAUCAACACAAGUAGACUACACUGCCUGGAGGGCAGACAUUGUGCCUUAUUUGUUUAUGUAUUUCUAGUUCUUGAUGCAAAAUAUUUCACAUAACAGAUUUAAUAAUCUAUUAACCUAUUGUAAUCUAAUCUAUUAUAAUCUAUUAAUCUAAUAAUCUAAUAAUCUAUU